rnacentral:rRNA from 1 species
GAACGCUAGCUACAGGCUUAACACAUGCAAGUCGAGGGGCAGCAUGGUCUUAGCUUGCUAAGGCCGAUGGCGACCGGCGCACGGGUGAGUAACGCGUAUCCAACCUGCCUUACACUCUUGGACAGCCUUCUGAAAGGGAGAUUAAUACAAGAUGUUAUCAUGAGUAAGCAUUUUCGCAUGAUUAAAGGUUUACCGGUGUAAGAUGGGGAUGCGUUCCAUUAGAUAGUAGGCGGGGUAACGGCCCACCUAGUCUUCGAUGGAUAGGGGUUCUGAGAGGAAGGUCCCCCACAUUGGAACUGAGACACGGUCCAAACUCCUACGGGAGGCAGCAGUGAGGAAUAUUGGUCAAUGGACGAGAGUCUGAACCAGCCAAGUAGCGUGAAGGAUGAAGGUUCUAUGGAUUGUAAACUUCUUUUAUACGGGAAUAAACGAAUCCACGCGUGGAUUUUUGCAUGUACCGUAUGAAUAAGGAUCGGCUAACUCCGUGCCAGCAGCCGCGGUAAUACGGAGGAUCCGAGCGUUAUCCGGAUUUAUUGGGUUUAAAGGGAGCGUAGAUGGGUUGUUAAGUCAGUUGUGAAAGUUUGCGGCUCAACCGUAAAAUUGCAAUUGAUACUGGCAGUCUUGAGUACAGUUGAGGUAGGCGGAAUUCGUGGUGUAGCGGUGAAAUGCUUAGAUAUCACGAAGAACUCCGAUUGCGAAGGCAGCUUACUAACCUGUAACUGACAUUGAUGCUCGAAAGUGUGGGUAUCAAACAGGAUUAGAUACCCUGGUAGUCCACACGGUAAACGAUGAAUACUCGCUGUAGGCGAUAUACAGUCUGCGGCCAAGCGAAAGCAUUAAGUAUUCCACCUGGGGAGUACGCCGGCAACGGUGAAACUCAAAGGAAUUGACGGGGGCCCGCACAAGCGGAGGAACAUGUGGUUUAAUUCGAUGAUACGCGAGGAACCUUACCCGGGCUUAAAUUGCAACCGAAUAUGGCGGAAACGCUAUAGCUAGCAAUAGCGGUUGUGAAGGUGCUGCAUGGUUGUCGUCAGCUCGUGCCGUGAGGUGUCGGCUUAAGUGCCAUAACGAGCGCAACCCUUGCCGAUAGUUACUAACAGGUUAUGCUGAGGACUCUGUCGGGACUGCCAUCGUAAGAUGUGAGGAAGGUGGGGAUGACGUCAAAUCAGCACGGCCCUUACGUCCGGGGCUACACACGUGUUACAAUGGGGGGUACAGAGGGCUGCUACCACGCAAGUGGAUGCCAAUCCCAAAAACCUCUCUCAGUUCGGAUUGAAGUCUGCAACCCGACUUCAUGAAGCUGGAUUCGCUAGUAAUCGCGCAUCAGCCACGGCGCGGUGAAUACGUUCCCGGGCCUUGUACACACCGCCCGUCAAGCCAUGGGAGCCGGGGGUACCUGAAGUGCGUAACCGCAAGGAGCGCCCUAGGGUAAAACUGGUGACUGGGGCU